UGCAUAUCGGGAAGCGGAGGAAAAGAAACCAACCGGGAUUGCCUCAGUAACGGCGAGUGAAGCGGCAAGAGCUCAAAUUUGAAAGCUGGCUCCUUCGGGGUCCGCAUUGUAAUUUGCAGAGGAUGCUUCGGGUGCAGCCCCCGUCUAAGUGCCCUGGAACGGGCCGUCAUAGAGGGUGAGAAUCCCGUAUGGGGCGGGGUGUCUGCGUCCGUGUGAAGCUCCUUCGACGAGUCGAGUUGUUUGGGAAUGCAGCUCUAAAUGGGUGGUAAAUUUCAUCUAAAGCUAAAUACUGGCCGGAGACCGAUAGCGCACAAGUAGAGUGAUCGAAAGAUGAAAAGCACUUUGAAAAGAGAGUUAAACAGCACGUGAAAUUGUUGAAAGGGAAGCGCUUGCAACCAGACUCGCUCGCGGGGUUCAGCCGGGCUUCGGCCCGGUGUACUUCCCCGCGGGCGGGCCAGCGUCGGUUUGGGCGGCCGGUCAAAGGCCUCCGGAAUGUAGCGCCCUUCGGGGCGCCUUAUAGCCGGGGGUGCAAUGCGGCCAGCCUGGACCGAGGAACGCGCUUCGGCACGGACGCUGGCAUAAUGGUUGUAAACGACCCGUCUUGAAACACGGACC
rnacentral:rRNA from 1 species